UACGGAGGGGGCUAGCGUUGUUCGGAAUUACUGGGCGUAAAGGGCGCGUAGGCGGCGCGGGUAGUCAUCGGUGAAAGUUCAGGGCUCAACUCUGAAUCGGCCGGUGAUACUCCCGUGCUCGAGCACUGUAGAGGCAGGUGGAAUUCCGGGUGUAGCGGUGGAAUGCGUAGAGAUCCGGAAGAACACCGGUGGCGAAGGCGGCCUGCUGGGCAGUAGCUGACGCUGAUGCGCGACAGCGUGGGGAGCAAACAGG
rnacentral:rRNA from 1 species